AUUGAACGCUGGCGGCAUGCCUUACACAUGCAAGUCGAACGGCAGCACGGGUGCUUGCACCUGGUGGCGAGUGGCGAACGGGUGAGUAAUACAUCGGAACAUGUCCUGUAGUGGGGGAUAGCCCGGCGAAAGCCGGAUUAAUACCGCAUACGAUCUACGGAUGAAAGCGGGGGACCUGCGGGUCUGGCGCUUUAGGGUUGGCCGAUGGCGGAUUAGGUAGUUGGUGGGGUAAAGGCCUACCAAGGCGACGAUCAGUAGCUGGUCUGAGAGGACGACCAGCCACACUGGAACUGAGACACGGCCCAGACUCCUACGGGAGGCAGCAGUGGGGAAUUUUGGACAAUGGGCGAAAGCCUGAUCCAGCAAUGCCGCGUGUGUGAAGAAGGCCUUCGGGUUGUAAAGCACUUUUGUCCGGAAAGAAAACCUUGGCCCUAAUACGGUCGGGGGAUGACGGUACCGGAAGAAUAAGCACCGGCUAACUACGUG
rnacentral:rRNA from 1 species